rnacentral:sRNA from 1 species
CUGUGUGUAUGUGUGUGUGCCACGCGCGCCAACGGUGAAAAGUCUGUGGUGUGUGCCAUACCUGCAUGUACACAUAGGGAAAGGAUGAUGUGUGCACACCUGUGUAUAUCCAUAGUCUCGCUAUACAGACACGUGUGUAUUCAUGGAGUAUGAGUCGUGUGUGUGCAUGCCUGGACGUAUAUAUAGAAGAGAACCCUCUGUGCAUACAAAUAUGGAUACCUAUGUUUAAUGCCUGCACACUGAAAAGAAUAGGGAGUGUUCGCUGGAGACCCUGCCCUGUCUUGGAGGAGGACCUCUGUGAGUUAAGAACAAAGCCGUUCUUAUGGACAAGGUGUCUGCAGAGGUCAGAAGAGGGUCUGCAGUCCCUGGAGCUGCAGUUACAACUGGGAGCCACCUAGGGGCGAUCUAGCUCUCUGGGAAAACAAGCGCUCUUAUCCAAUGAGCCGUCUCUGCAGCUCCCGUAUCCCUUACUUUCCAAAAGCAGCUUUGCCAACUUCAGAAUUCUUGAUUGGCAAGGUUUAUUUUUAUUUCUUUCAGAAUUAAAGUGUUCCGCCCUACUGCCUCCUGGUCGUUAUGUUUUAAAGAGAUGCCAACCCUAUGACGGUUACUAGCAAGGGACAAAUCACUUCUCUCUUGAUGACUUAAAUGUAUGUAUUUGCUUUUGUCUUUUGAGUUUAUGCGUAUUGGUGUGGGUCUCUGGGUUUAUCUUUGAGUUUGUGCGAUAUGGAGUUCCCUUAGUUU